rnacentral:rRNA from 1 species
UACGUAGGGGGGCAAGCGUUGUCCGGAUUUAUUGGGCGUAAAGCGCGUGUAGGUGGCCAAGUAGGUCCGCUGUGAAAACUUGAGGCUCAACCUCAAGCUGUCGGUGGAAACCCCUUGGCUAGAGUCCGGAAGAGGAGAGUGGAAUUCCUGGUGUAGCGGUGAAAUGCGCAGAUAUCAGGAAGAACACCAAUGGCGAAGGCAGCUCUCUGGGACGGUACUGACACUGAGACGCGAAAGCGUGGGGAGCGAACAGG